rnacentral:rRNA from 1 species
UACGGAGGGUGCGAGCGUUGUCCGGAAUCACUGGGCGUAAAGGGCGCGUAGGCGGCGCGGAAAGUCGGCGGUGAAAGCCCGGAGCUCAACUCCGGGUCGGCCGUCGAUACUUCCGGGCUUGAGCACUGUAGAGGCAGAUGGAAUUCCGGGUGUAGCGGUGGAAUGCGUAGAGAUCCGGAAGAACACCGGUGGCGAAGGCGGUCUGCUGGGCAGUUGCUGACGCUGAUGCGCGACAGCGUGGGGAGCAAACAGG